GGGAAUGUGGCUUAGUGGUACAGUGCUUGCCUAGCAUGCAUGAAGCCCUGGGUUCGAUUCCCCAGUACCA
rnacentral:tRNA from 1 species